GGGGAAUUUUGGACAAUGGGCGAAAGCCUGAUCCAGCAAUGCCGCGUGAGUGAAGAAGGCCUUCGGGUUGUAAAGCUCUUUUGUCAGGGAAGAAACGGUGAGAGCUAAUAUCUCUUGCUAAUGACGGUACCUGAAGAAUAAGCACCGGCUAACUACGUGCCAGCAGCCGCGGUAAUACGUAGGGUGCAAGCGUUAAUCGGAAUUACUGGGCGUAAAGCGUGCGCAGGCGGUUUUGUAAGUCUGAUGUGAAAUCCCCGGGCUCAACCUGGGAAUUGCAUUGGAGACUGCAAGGCUAGAAUCUGGCAGAGGGGGGUAGAAUUCCACGUGUAGCAGUGAAAUGCGUAGAUAUGUGGAGGAACACCGAUGGCGAAGGCAGCCCCCUGGGUCAAGAUUGACGCUCAUGCACGAAAGCGUGGGGAGCAAAC
rnacentral:rRNA from 1 species